AAAGCGAGCGGCGGAUGGGUGAGUAACACGUGGGGAACCUGCCCCUAAGUCUGGGAUACCAUUUGGAAACAGGUGCUAAUACCGGAUAAUAAAGCAGAUCGCAUGAUCAGCUUUUGAAAGGCGGCGUAAGCUGUCGCUAAGGGAUGGCCCCGCGGUGCAUUAGCUAGUUGGUAAGGUAACGGCUUACCAAGGCGACGAUGCAUAGCCGAGUUGAGAGACUGAUCGGCCACAUUGGGACUGAGACACGGCCCAAACUCCUACGGGAGGCAGCAGUAGGGAAUCUUCCACAAUGGACGCAAGUCUGAUGGAGCAACGCCGCGUGAGUGAAGAAGGUUUUCGGAUCGCAAAGCUCUGUUGUUGGUGAAGAAGGAUAGAGGUAGUAACUGGCCUUUAUUUGACGGUAAUCAACCAGAAAGUCACGGCUAACUACGUGCCAGCAGCCGCGGUAAUACGUAGGUGGCAAGCGUUGUCCGGAUUUAUUGGGCGUAAAGCGAGCGCAGGCGGAAAAAUAAGUCUAAUGUGAAAGCCCUCGGCUUAACCGAGGAACUGCAUCGGAAACUGUUUUUCUUGAGUGCAGAAGAGGAGAGUGGAACUCCAUGUGUAGCGGUGGAAUGCGUAGAUAUAUGGAAGAACACCAGUGGCGAAGGCGGCUCUCUGGUCUGCAACUGACGCUGAGGCUCGAAAGCAUGGGUAGCGAACAGGAUUAGAUACCCUGGUAGUCCAUGCCGUAAACGAUGAGUGCUAAGUGUUGGGAGGUUCCCGCCUCUCAGUGCUGCAGCUAACGCAUUAAGCACUCCGCCUGGGGAGUACGACCGCAAGGUUGAAACUCAAAGGAAUUGACGGGGGGCCCGCACAAGCGGUGGAGCAUGUGGUUUAAUUC
rnacentral:rRNA from 1 species